AAUGAACGCUGGCGGCGCGCCUAAUACAUGCAAGUCGAGCGAGAAGACGUGGCAAUACGUUUGUAAAGCGGCGAACGGGUGAGGAAUACAUGGGUAACCUACCCUCGAGUGGGGAAUAACUAGCCGAAAGGUUAGCUAAUACCGCGUACGCUUCUUGGACUUCGGUUCAGGGAGGAAAGCGAUGCCGAGGGUAUCGCGCUCUUGGAUGGGCUCAUGUCCUAUCAGCUUGUUGGGCGGUAACGGCUCACCAAGGCUUCGACGGGUAGCUGGUCUGAGAGGACGAUCAGCCACACUGGCACUGCGACACGGGGCCAGACUCCUACGGGAGGCAGCAGUAAGGAAUAUUGCGCAAUGGGCGAAAGCCUGACGCAGCGACGCCGCGUGGGGGAUGAAGGUCUUCGGAUUGUAAACCCCUUUCGGGAGGGAAGAU
rnacentral:rRNA from 1 species